rnacentral:tRNA from 1 species
GUCAGGAUGGCCGAGCGGUCUAAGGCGCUGCGUUCAGGUCGCAGUCCGGUCUUUCGGGCGUGGGUUCGAAUCCCACUUCUGACA